rnacentral:lncRNA from 1 species
CUGAGGGAUAGCAAACAAUCCAGCAGGCACAACAUCACCAUCACCAGAGCCCAGAGAAGAGGACUUCCAUCAAGAUGAAUUACUAU